AUAAUCUCUAAUUGUCAAUUAUACCUCACUAAAGCUGGAGAAAAACUUAACGCCAUCACAAAAGAAAUCUCAGAAAGAAUACAGAGCUCUGAAGUAGCAGAAAGGGUUAAGCUGUUAAAUGCACAAAUAGCAGAGCUCUUGUUACAGAGAGAGAGAGAGAGAGCCUGUUGGAAGGAGGAGACCACUGUAGGUCAGCCUGUCCUUUACAUUGUGAAGAGCUUCAAAGAGGCUAAUAAACCCAGCGGCCUAUGGCAAAGAAAGACACAAUCUGUCCCACUGGAAUAUAAGCCACGUGAGGAUUGAGAUUUCUCUUGUUCUCCACUUCUUCUCCAGUGUGUGGCACGCAGAAUGUAGGAAAUGUUCCGUCUGCCAACUGGAACAGAGCCCAUCAGAAGUGAAUUCUGGAUGUUGCAGCAAGGGAAGGGUAGGCAUAUUUUUAAGGAUAGGCUGAAAGCCAAGGUUUCAUCUAUCAUUUUCUUCACUUGUCAAUUACUUGAUGACUUACCGCCUCGAAAGCAUGGUGCUAGCCACAGGGGAUGUCCCUCUAGCUUACAGUUGGGAGGAAAAUAAGGACAAGAGAGCAAGAAAUGGCCCAUGUGUGCACUGAG
rnacentral:lncRNA from 1 species